rnacentral:rRNA from 1 species
UAGGGAAUCUUCGGCAAUGGACGAAAGUCUGACCGAGCAACGCCGCGUGAGUGAAGAAGGUUUUCGGAUCGUAAAGCUCUGUUGUAAGUCAAGAACGUGUGUGAGAGUGGAAAGUUCACACAGUGACGGUAGCUUACCAGAAAGGGACGGCUAACUACGUGCCAGCAGCCGCGGUAAUACGUAGGUCCCGAGCGUUGUCCGGAUUUAUUGGGCGUAAAGGGAGCGCAGGCGGUCAGGAAAGUCUGGAGUAAAAGGCUAUGGCUCAACCAUAGUGUGCUCUGGAAACUGUCUGACUUGAGUGCAGAAGGGGAGAGUGGAAUUCCAUGUGUAGCGGUGAAAUGCGUAGAUAUAUGGAGGAACACCAGUGGCGAAAGCGGCUCUCUGGUCUGUCACUGACGCUGAGGCUCGAAAGCGUGGGUAGCGAACAGGAUUAGAUACCCUGGUAGUCCACGCCGUAACGAUGAGUGCUAGGUGUUAGGCCCUUUCCGGGGCUUAGUGCCGGAGCUAACGCAAUAAGCACUCCGCCUGGGGAGUACGACCGCAAGGUUG